CAAAAACAUGUCUUUUUGAGUUAUUUUUAAAGUCUAACCUGCCCAAUGAAUAAUUUAAAUGGCCGCAGUAAUUUGACUGUGCAAAGGUAGCAUAAUAAUUAGUCUUUUAAUUGAAGGCUUGUAUGAAUGGUUGGACGAAGUAUAAUCUGUUUCAUUUAAAUUUAAUAUAGAAUUUUAUAUUUUAGUUAAAAAGCUAAAAUUUUUUUAAAAGACGAGAAGACCCUAUAAAUCUUUAUAAUUUGUAUUAUUUUUCUUUUUUUGAUUUAUUUUAUUUUAAUAAUUUAGAUUAUUUUAUUGGGGUGAUAUUAAAAUUUAAAUAACUUUUAAUUUAUUUUAACAUUAAUUUAUGAUUUAUUGAUCCAUUAAUAAUGAUUAUAAGAAUAAGUUACUUUAGGGAUAACAGCGUAAUUUUUUUGGAGAGUUCUUAUUGAUAAAAAAGUUUGCGACCUCGAUGUUGGAUUAAGAUAUAAUUUUAGGUGUAGUUGCUUAAAUAAUAAGUCUGUUCGACUUUUAAAUUCUUACAUGAUCUGAGUUCAAACCGGA
rnacentral:rRNA from 1 species